rnacentral:lncRNA from 1 species
GACUUUGUCAGAAGACUUCCAGAUGACUUCCAGACGACUUCCAGACGACUAACAGGUAAGUCGUCCCAGAAGUCUUCCAGAUCUGAAAAACCUGCACAUCAAAUCCAGAUCUGAAAAACCUGCAUAUUCAAAAACGUUCAAAUGACUUAAAAAUAGAGAAAAUGAGUGGAAGAUUAGAUAAAUCUACAUUUAUAGAACACACAAAAAUACAUAUCUAAAAUUAAUAGAUCUACCUCUAAAUUAGUGGAAGAUGAGUACCAUUUGAUUAAAAACCUGCAAAAGAGAUAGAUUAGUAAGAAAUACAUGAGACAAAACUGAAAAAUUCAUAUAAAGUUUGGUGUUUUCAAGUCAAAGAGAUUAGAGAGAGGUUGGAGAGUUUUAGAAUGAUGAACAUUACAUUUUUGUUGCAGCCAUUUGAGAGGAUGAGAGAGAAUGUGUAAAUUUUUCUUUAUAUAGGGAGACAAAAAAUCCAAUUAGAUUAAAUAUUUUUGACUCAGACGACUUCCUGGACGACUUACAUUUCAGUCGUCUGGUGAAGAAAUUAAAACAGACGACUUACAUGUAAGUCGUCCAGAAGAGUUUAAUAUUUUUAGCGGGAAAUUAAAUAUUUUUAGCGGGAAACUAAAAUAGAAGACUUUCCAGACGACUUACAAGUAAGUCGUCUGGACGACUGAAAUAUACGUCGUCCGGGUAAAUUAUUUAACAGACGACUGAAAUAUAAGUCGUCCACACCCUAAACAUAACCCCUAAACUUAAUUAUCUAAUUAAACACUUCAUAAAACCAAAUCAAACUUGAAA